rnacentral:rRNA from 1 species
UACAGAGGUCUCAAGCGUUGUUCGGAUUCAUUGGGCGUAAAGGGUGCGUAGGUGGCGCUGUAAGUCGGGUGUGAAAUUUCGGAGCUUAACUCCGAAACUGCAUUCGAUAACUGCCGUGCUUGAGGACUGGAGAGGAGACUGGAAUUUACGGUGUAGCGGUGAAAUGCGCAGAUAUCAAGGAGGAACACCGGUGGCGAAGGCGGGUCUCUGGGCCGAAUGACUGACGCUGGAGGAGCGAAAGCGUGGGGAGCGAACAGG